rnacentral:rRNA from 1 species
UACGAAGGGGGCUAGCGUUGCUCGGAAUCACUGGGCGUAAAGCGCACGUAGGCGGUUCUUUAAGUCAGGGGUGAAAUCCUGGAGCUCAACUCCAGAACUGCCUUUGAUACUGGGGAUCUCGAGUCCGGGAGAGGUGAGUGGAACUGCGAGUGUAGAGGUGAAAUUCGUAGAUAUUGGGAAGAACACCGGUGGCGAAGGCGGCGCUCUGGACCGAGACUGACGCUGAGGCGCGAAAGCGUGGGAGCAAACAGG